CCUUACCUACCCUUGACAUGUCUGGAAUCCCGAAGAGAUUUGGGAGUUGCUCGCAAGAGAACCGGAACACAGGUGCUGCAUGGCUGUCGUCAGCUCGUGUCGUGAGAUGUUGGGUUAAGUCCCGCAACGAGCGCAACCCUUGUCAUUAGUUGCUACGAAAGGGCACUCUAAUGAGACUGCCGGUGACAAACCGGAGGAAGGUGGGGAUGACGUCAAGUCCUCAUGGCCCUUAUGGGUAGGGCUUCACACGUCAUACAAUGGUCGGGACAGAGGGUCGCCAACCCGCGAGGGGGAGCCAAUCCCAGAAACCCGAUCGUAGUCCGGAUCGUAGUCUGCAACUCGACUACGUGAAGUCGGAAUCGCUAGUAAUCGCGGAUCAAGCAUGCCGCGGUGAAUACGUUCCCGGGUCUUGUACACACCGCCCGUCACACCAUGGGAGUG
rnacentral:rRNA from 1 species